UAAGGCAUGCAUGUCUAAGUAUAAGUAUUAUACAGCGAAACUGCGAAUGGCUCAUUAAAACAGUAAUAGUUUAUUUGACAAUCUCACUUACAUGGAUACCCGUAGUAAUUCUAGAGCUAAUACAUGCUGUACUACUAACUUUUUGGACAGGAGGUAUUUAUUAGAUAAUAACCAAUAUUCCGCAGGUCUAUAGUGGUGAAUCAUAAUAACUGAUCGAAUCGCAAAGCCUUUGGCGGCGAUAAGUCAUUCAAGUUUCUGCCCCAUCAGCUUUAGAUGGUAGUGUAUUGGACUACCAUGGCGUUCACGGGUAACGGAGGAUUAGGGUUCGAUUCCGGAGAGGGAGCCUGAGAAACGACUACCACAUCCAAGGAAGGCAGCAGCCGCGUAAAUUACCCAAUCCUGACUCAGGGAGGUAGUGACAAGAAAUAACAAGCGGUGGCCUAGCCACCGAAUUGCAAUGAGCCGAAUUUACACCAGUUAGCGAGGACCAAUU
rnacentral:rRNA from 1 species